GAGUUUGAUCCUGGCUCAGGAUGAACGCUAGCGGGAGGCCUAACACAUGCAAGGCCGAGCGGUAUUGUUUCUUACGGAAAUGAGAGAGCGGCGUACGGGUGCGGAACACGUGUGCAACCUGCCUUUAUCUGGGGGAUAGCCUUUCGAAAGGAAGAUUAAUACUCCAUAACAUAUUGAACGGCAUCGUUUAAUAUUGAAAGCUCAGGCGGAUAGAGAUGGGCACGCGCAAGAUUAGCUAGUUGGUGAGGUAACGGCUCACCAAGGCAAUGAUCUUUAGGGGCCUGAGAGGGUGAUCCCCCACACUGGUACUGAGACACGGACCAGACUCCUACGGGAGGCAGCAGUGAGGAAUAUUGGUCAAUGGGUGCAAGCCUGAACCAGCCAUCCCGCGUGAAGGACGACUGCCCUAUGGGUUGUAAACUUCUUUUGUAUAGGGACAAACCUUUCCACGUGUGGAAAGCUGAAGGUACUAUACGAAUAAGCACCGGCUAACUCCGUG
rnacentral:rRNA from 1 species